rnacentral:rRNA from 1 species
AUGACAAAGAAGAGUUUGAUCCUGGCUCAGGAUGAACGCUAGCGAUAGGCUUAACACAUGCAAGUCGAGGGGCAGCACGUAUUCAGCUUGCUGAAUAUGGUGGCGACCGGCGGAUGGGUGCGUAACGCGUAUGCAACUUACCUGUCAGAGGGGGAUAACCCGGAGAAAUUCGGACUAAUACCGCAUACAC